AACAAUGGAAACCAAAUCAGUGCUUUGAACAUGUCAAACCAAAAUCAAAAUUAAAAACCAACAGCUUUUUUUUUAUUCUAUUAAAAACUGCAAUAAAAUAACUCAACAAACCCUGCAUUUGUUUUCCAGUUUGAUUGUUAGGAUGAUGAACACCUGCUCAACAAAAGAAACAAUUGACUGAAAACUAUAAUAGUAAAUAAACGAUAAUUCUGAUGAAAAAAUGAUUUCCA
rnacentral:lncRNA from 1 species